CAGACACCGCCACCCUGGGGCACAGAUGGCAGACAAGGGGAGAGGGCAAAGAGCUAUUGGGGAAUCUGCACUUGUGAGGGUCAAAACCCACACUCAUCUUGUGCUGCCGCCCUGCUCCUCCUUGCAUCCAUGUUCACAGGUUGCCCACCCAACGGUUUUCCUGUCUCUAGUCCCUCCCACUGAGGACCCACCUCACAGGAAGAAAACCGUCUGACUCAUAAAGGGAUCCGACCAAGGCUAUGUUCAUCCUCUGCUCAGCACCUCAUCUGAGCCAGGACAAGAAGAGAAGGAAACGAGCGUUUGCUGGGCUCCAUCACAUGCCAGGUGGGUCUUAUUAUUUCCAUUCUACACGUGAAGAGUCUGAGGCUCAGAGGUCAGCCUGCCAAAGUCACACACACAGCUGGGGAGCUUGCUGGACUCCACAGGCCACACAUCUUCCAUGAGAGCACACUGCCUCUUUGAAAAUAAAGCUGCAGAGCAAAAACACUAACAUUUUAC
rnacentral:lncRNA from 10 species